ACUUUACGAAAUAUUCUUUCUUAUGGAUGCGUAAUAAUUAUGGAACAAUUAUCCUUAUGGGUCCAUUCUACAUUUACUUAAACCUCGUCUGAGAAUCGUGUCAUUUUCGACGACGAAUUCGAAAACCUAGCACGGAUUCGUCCCGUUUCUUCUCGUCAAGAGGAACUAUGUCAAGAAAACGAAACCUUCCCAGAGAAUUCUCGAAUUCCACCAAUAAACCUAGGCGUUUACGAAACCCCGGUGGUGGGGGGAUGGAAGUUAUCUGUCCGGUCCCGCCGCCGCACUAACGCAGCCUCUCUUAUCGGUCUUAUUAAUCAUUCAACGAGCGUAACGUGGUUGCAUGAAAUGGAAAGAACGUAUCGCGCAAUUGUACGUAACGAGAAGGUUAACAAAUUGUGCGGCUAAGGAUGUCAUCUAUCAGAUCGACUCGUGUUACGAUUAUCGCACAAUCUGUCCCGAGACUCGUGUCACGCGUGUCUGCUGCUCUUUACGUCUCUUUCAGCAAUUAUAUAACCAACAUAUGC